AUUGAACGCUGGCGGCAUGCCUUACACAUGCAAGUCGAACGGCAGCACGGGGGCAACCCUGGUGGCGAGUGGCGAACGGGUGAGUAACAUAUCGGAACGUGCCCUGGAGUGGGGGAGUAACUAGUCGAAAGACUAGCUAAUACCGCAUACGAUCUACGGAUGAAAGUGGGGGAUCGCAAGACCUCAUGCUCGUGGAGCGGCCGAUAUCUGAUUAGCAGUUGGUGGGGUAAAGGCCUACCAAGGCAUCGAUCAGUAGCUGGUCUGAGAGGACGACCAGCCACACUGGGACUGAGACACGGCCCAGACUCCUACGGGAGGCAGCAGUGGGGAAUUUUGGACAAUGGGCGCAAGCCUGAUCCAGCAAUGCCGCGUGAGUGAAGAAGGCCUUCGGUUG
rnacentral:rRNA from 1 species